rnacentral:rRNA from 1 species
CAGUUCGGACUGUAGGCUGCAAUCGCCUACACGAAGUCGGAAUCGCUAGUAAUCGCGGAUCAGCAUGCCGCGGUGAAUGCGUUCUCGGGCCUUGUACACACCGCCCGUCACACCAUGAGAGUCGGGAACACCCGAAGUCCGUAGCCUAACCGCAAGGGGGGCGCGGCCGAAGGUGGGCUCGAUAAUUGGGGUGAAGUCGUAACAAGGUACC